CUACGGGUCGCUGCAGCGAGGAAUAUUGCACAAUGGGGGGAACCCUGAUGCAGCAACGCCGCGUGGAGGAUGACGCAUUUCGGUGUGUAAACUCCUUUUAUAUGUCAAGAAAAUGACGGUAGCAUAUGAAUAAGCGCCGGCUAACUCCGUGCCAGCAGCCGCGGUAAUAAGGAGGGCGCAAGCGUUACUCGGAAUCACUGGGCGUAAAGGACGCGUAGGCGGGUUGAAAAGUCAGGUGUGAAAGCCUACAGCUUAACUGUAGAACUGCACUUGAAACUCUCAAUCUAGAGUAUGGGAGGGGCAGAUGGAAUUAGUGGUGUAGGGGUAAAAUCCGUAGAUAUCACUAGGAAUACCUAAAGCGAAGGCGAUCUGCUGGAACAUUACUGACGCUAAGGCGUGAAAGCGUGGGGAGCAAACAGGGUUAGAUACCCCAGUAGUC
rnacentral:rRNA from 1 species